UACAGAGGGUGCAAGCGUUAAUCGGAAUUACUGGGCGUAAAGCGUGCGUAGACGGUUACAUAAGUCGGGUGUGAAAGCCCCGGGCUCAACCUGGGAAUUGCAUUCGAGACUGCGUAGCUAGGGUGCGGAAGAGGGAAGCGGAAUUUCCGGUGUAGCGGUGAAAUGCGUAGAUAUCGGAAGGAACACCGGUGGCGAAAGCGGCGCGCUGGACCUCUUCUGACGCUGAGGCGCGAAAGCCAGGGGAGCGAACGGG
rnacentral:rRNA from 1 species